rnacentral:rRNA from 1 species
CCUACGGGAUGCAGCAGUGGGGAAUAUUGCACAAUGGGGGAAACCCUGAUGCAGCAACGCCGCGUGAGUGAUGACGGCCUUCGGGUUGUAAAGCUCUGUCUUCAGGGACGAUAAUGACGGUACCUGAGGAGGAAGCCACGGCUAACUACGUGCCAGCAGCCGCGGUAAUACGUAGGUGGCGAGCGUUGUCCGGAUUUACUGGGCGUAAAGGGAGCGUAGGCGGACUUUUAAGUGAGAUGUGAAAUACCCGGGCUCAACUUGGGUGCUGCAUUUCAAACUGGAAGUCUAGAGUGCAGGAGAG